CCAAUAGCGUAUAUUAAAGUUGCUGCAGUUAAAAAGCUCGUAGUUGAAUUUCGGGAUCAAUAUGUUGGUCGUGCCUUGGUACGUACUAGCUUAUUGGUUUCUCCCUUCUGACGAACCAUGAUGUCAUUAAUUUGGUGUCAUGUGGAAUCAGGACUGUUACUUUGAAAAAAUUAGAGUGUUUAAAGCAGGCUCACGCUUGAAUACAUUAGCAUGGAAUAAUGAAAUAGGACGUUUGAUUCUAUUUUGUUGGUUUCUAGGAUCGACGUAAUGAUUAAUAGGGAUAGUUGGGGGCAUUAGUAUUCAAUUGUCAGAGGUGAAAUUCUUGGAUUUAUUGAAGACUAACUACUGCGAAAGCAUUUGCCAAGGAUGUUUUCAUUAAUCAAGAACGAAAGUUAGGGGAUCGAAGACGAUCAGAUACCGUCGUAGUCUUAACCAUAAACUAUGCCGACUAGGGAUCGGAUGAUGUUAAUUUUUUAAUGACUCAUUCGGCGCCUUACG
rnacentral:rRNA from 1 species